UAUGGUUGGUGGUUUUCUAGACCUUAUGUUUCUGGGACAGCUAAAUCUACAUGGUGAGCUAAUGAUCCGACAUUUGGAGAAUGUGCUUACGUUAGAUGAUGCAAGAAAUGCCAAUUUGGUUAGGAAAGACAACCUUGAUUCAUUAGGGCUCUGCUGGGGAAAUAAUGAUGAUGAGUCAACCUCAAAUCCUUGGAUGGAAUGCAAAAAGACUAUGUUCCUUGGAAGAGACCGGCAUCCCUCAUAUAGACCAUUAGAAGGGCAUCAACUUAGUGCUGACGUUACAGAAGAAGUUAUGGAAGGCCUCCAACCUCACAAAAAUUUGAAGGUACUAGUUGUGAAAGGAUACCCAGGAACAAGAUUUCCAAAUUGGACACUGCCAAAUCUUACGGAGGUUCAUUUCACCAACUGUGAAAGAUGUAUAUGUCUUCCUGUCCUAGGGGCUCUGCCAUCGCUUUCUAGACUCUCCCUGCAGGGAAUGCCUUCCAUGAGGGGAAUUGGGAGAGAGUUCUAUGGUGAAGAAAUCGAAAGGCCAUUUCCUUCUCUUCAAGAAUUUGAACUCAGCAAUUUCCCUAAUUUGCAAGAAUGGUUUGAUGAAAAUGGCAGAGCUGCCUUCCCUAUAUUGAGAAAAUUAAUUGUCAAGAAAUGCCCCAAGUUGACUUCAUUGCCCUUGAUUUUGUCUCUUCAGCAUUUAGAACUGCGGGAUUGCAGUGCUAUUCUAUUUAAUUACAUUCAAAGUUUAUCCUCCCUUAGAAUUCUUGCAAUUGAGAAAGUAGCAGAUUUGAUAUCUUUCCCAGGAGAGUUUCUUGCAAACAGCCCCCUUACUUCUCUGGACAUUGUAUCUUGCCACAAAAUUUGUUUAUUGCCAUCAGAGUUGGGUAGCCUCAAGAGUCUUAAGUCACUAAAAAUUCGUUGGUGCGAAAAUCUUUCCUCGCUGCCACAAGGUUUGCAGAACCUCAAGGCCUUGGAGUUGUUGGAGAUUACUGAUUGCCACAGUAUAGUUUCCAUGCCAGAUGACGGGAUUGGAGGUUUGAGUUCCCUUAGAAGCUUGUCCAUUGAGAACUGCAAUAAUCUGACUUAUUUAUCAAUGAGUCUGCAGAAUCUCACAUGUCUUGAGCACUUG
rnacentral:misc_RNA from 1 species